rnacentral:tRNA from 1 species
GGCGGCGGCGGGCCGGUUCGUCCAUGCUGGCGCCGCUGGGGUUGGCGAAGUCGGGGACGACGUAGCAGGCGCGGGGGCGCUUCCCGGCGGCGCGC